rnacentral:rRNA from 1 species
GGCAGCAGUGGGGAAUUUUGGGCAAUGGGCGCAAGCCUGACCCAGCGACGCCGCGUGGAGGAUGAAGGCCUUCGGGUUGUAAACUCCUGUCAGGUGGGAAGAAGUGCUUCGCGGAUAAUACCCGUGAAGAAUUGACGGUACCACCAAAGGAAGCCCCGGCUAACUCCGUGCCAGCAGCCGCGGUAAUACGGAGGGGGCAAGCGUUAUUCGGAUUUACUGGGCGUAAAGCGCACGUAGGCGGCAGUGUAAGUCACAGGUGAAAUCCCUCGGCUCAACCGAGGAACCGCCUGCGAAACUGCAUUGCUUGAGUCCGGGAGGGGGGAGCGGAAUUCCCAGUGUAGCGGUGAAAUGCGUAGAUACUGGGAGGAACACCGGUGGCGAAAGCGGCUCCCUGGACCGGUACUGACGCUGAGGUGCGAAAGCGUGGGUAGCAAACAGGAUUAGAUACCCUGGUAGUCCACGCCGUAAACGAUGGGCACUAGGUGCAGCGGGUGUCGACCCCUGCUGUGCCGGAGUUAACGCAUUAAGUGCCCCGCCUGGGGAGUACGGUCGCAAGGCUGAAACUCAAAUGAAUUGACGG